rnacentral:rRNA from 1 species
UACGGGGGGAGCAAGCGUUGUUCGGAUUUACUGGGCGUAAAGGCGCGUAGGCGGCCAGCACAAGUCAGUUGUGAAAUCUCCGGGCUUAACUCGGAAAGGUCAACUGAUACUGUGCGGCUAGAGUGCAGAAGGGGCAACUGGAAUUCUCGGUGUAGCGGAUGAAAUGCGUAGAUAUCGAGAGGAACACCUGGCGGCGAAGGCCGGGUUGCUGGGCUGACACUGACGCUGAUGCGGCGAAAGCCAGGGGAGCGAACGGG